rnacentral:rRNA from 1 species
UGUUGGGUUAAGUCCCGCAACGAGCGCAACCCUUAUCCUUUGUUGCCAGCGAAUAAUGUCGGGAACUCAAAGGAGACUGCCGGUGAUAAACCGGAGGAAGGUGGGGAUGACGUCAAGUCAUCAUGGCCCUUACGAGUAGGGCUACACACGUGCUACAAUGGCAUAUACAAAGAGAAGCGAACUCGCGAGAGCAAGCGGACCUCAUAAAGUAUGUCGUAGUCCGGAUUGGAGUCUGCAACUCGACUCCAUGAAGUCGGAAUCGCUAGUAAUCGUAGAUCAGAAUGCUACGGUGAAUACGUUCCCGGGCCUUGUACACACCGCCCGUCACACCAUGGGAGUGGGUUGCAAAAGAAGUAGGUAGCUUAACCUUCGGGAGGGCGCUUACCACUUUGUGAUUCAUGACUGGGGUGAAGUCGUAACAAGGUAACCGUA